UACGUAGGUGGCGAGCGUUAUCCGGAAUUAUUGGGCGUAAAGAGCUCGUAGGCGGUUUGUCGCGUCUGCCGUGAAAGUCCGGGGCUCAACUCCGGAUCUGCGGUGGGUACGGGCAGACUAGAGUGAUGUAGGGGAGACUGGAAUUCCUGGUGUAGCGGUGAAAUGCGCAGAUAUCAGGAGGAACACCGGUGGCGAAGGCGGUGGUCUGGGCCGGCACUGACGCUGAGGAGCGAAAGCGUGGGGAGCGAACAGG
rnacentral:rRNA from 1 species